rnacentral:rRNA from 1 species
AUACGGAGGGUGCAAGCGUUGUUCGGAAUCAUUGGGCGUAAAGCGCGUGUAGGCGGCCAGAUAAGUCUGAUGUGAAAGCCCGGGGCUCAACCCCGGAAGUGCAUUGGAUACUGUCUGGCUAGAGGACGAGAGGGGGAAGCGGAAUUCCUGGUGUAGGGGUGAAAUCCGUAGAUAUCAGGAGGAACAUCGGUGGCGAAGGCGGCUUCCUGGCUCGUUUCUGACGCUGAGACGCGAAGGCGUGGGUAGCAAACAGGAUUAGAUACCCUGGUAGUCCACGCAGUAAACGAUGGAUACCAGUCGUUGGAGUUCCUCAUAGCUUCAGUGACGUAGCUAACGCGUUAAGUAUCCCGCCUGGGGAGUACGGUCGCAAGAUUAAAACUCAAAGGAAUUGGACGGGGCCCGCACAAGCGGUGGAGCAUGUGGUUUAAUUCGAUGCUACGCGAAAAACCUUACCUGGG